ACGAAAGAGCUUGCUCUUUUGGUGGCGAGUGGCGAACGGGUGAGUAAUGCAUCGGAACGUACCGAGUAAUGGGGGAUAACUAUCCGAAAGGAUAGCUAAUACCGCAUACGCUUUGAGAAGGAAAGUGGGGGCUCUUCGGACCUCACGUUAUUCGAGCGGCCGAUGUCUGAUUAGCUAGUUGGUGGGGUAAAGGCCUACCAAGGCGACGAUCAGUAGCGGGUCUGAGAGGAUGAUCCGCCACACUGGGACUGAGACACGGCCCAGACUCCUACGGGAGGCAGCAGUGGGGAAUUUUGGACAAUGGGCGCAAGCCUGAUCCAGCCAUGCCGCGUGUCUGAAGAAGGCCUUCGGGUUGUAAAGGACUUUUGUUAGGGAAGAAAAGGAUAGUGUUAAUACCAUUAUCUGCUGACGGUACCUAAAGAAUAAGCACCGGCUAACUACGUGCCAGCAGCCGCGGUAAUACGUAGGGUGCGAGCGUUAAUCGGAAUUACUGGGCGUAAAGCGAGCGCAGACGGUUACUUAAGCAGGAUGUGAAAUCCCCGGGCUUAACCCUGGGAACUGCGUUCUGAACUGGGUAGCUAGAGUAUGUCAGAGGGGGGUAGAAUUCCACGUGUAGCAGUGAAAUGCGUAGAGAUGUGGAGGAAUACCGAUGGCGAAGGCAGCCCCCUGGGAUAAUACUGACGUUCAUGCUCGAAAGCGUGGGUAGCAAACAGGAUUAGAUACCCUGGUAGUCCACGCCCUAAACGAUGUCAAUUAGCUGUUGGGGCACUUGAUGCCUUAGUAGCGAAG
rnacentral:rRNA from 1 species